GCAUCAUCGAUGCUGUCGCCAACGCACGGAAGCUUGUGGGUCAUUUUAAGCAUUCCCCAAAGGCCUACUCCAUCCUCGAAGACAUUCAGAAAGACCUGCACAUGCCAACACAACGACUCCAGCAGGACGUGUCAGUCAGAUGGAACAGUACUCAGUACAUGAUGCUGAGCCUUCUUCAGCAAAAGAGGCCGCUCAGUGUCUAUGCAGUGGACCACGACCUUCCAUGCAUGCCCUCUGCCAACCAAUGGGCGCUUAUGGAGAAGGCAGUUGUGGUCUUG